GUCCACGCCCUAAACGAUGUGUGCUGGGCGUCGGGGGCUUGCCCCGCGGUGCCGGAGCUAACGCGGUAAGCACACCGCCUGGGGAGUACGGCCGCAAGGUUAAAACUCAAAGGAAUUGACGGGGCCCGCACAAGCGGUGGAGCAUGUGGUUUAAUUCGACGCAACGCGCAGAACCUUACCAGCCCUUGACAUGGCGGCCGCGGCCUCGCGAGAGCGGGGCGUCCCUUCGGGGGGCCGUCACAGGUGCUGCAUGGCUGUCGU
rnacentral:rRNA from 1 species